UGAGUACUCCCUCCGUUCGGAAUUACUUGUCGCAGAAAUAGAUAUAUCUAGACAUAUUUUAGUUCUAGAUACAUCCAUAUCGAAGACAAGUAAUUCCAAACGGAGGGAGUACUAC
rfam:Triticum aestivum genome assembly, contig: Triticum_aestivum_CS42_TGACv1_scaffold_214524_3AS